UUUAUGGAGAGUUUGAUCCUGGCUCAGGAUGAACGCUGGCGGCGUGCCUAAUACAUGCAAGUCGAGCGAACGGACGAGAAGCUUGCUUCUCUGAUGUUAGCGGCGGACGGGUGAGUAACACGUGGAUAACCUACCUAUAAGACUGGGAUAACUUCGGGAAACCGGAGCUAAUACCGGAUAAUAUUUUGAACCGCAUGGUUCAAAAGUGAAAGACGGUCUUGCUGUCACUUAUAGAUGGAUCCGCGCUGCAUUAGCUAGUUGGUAAGGUAACGGCUUACCAAGGCAACGAUGCAUAGCCGACCUGAGAGGGUGAUCGGCCACACUGGAACUGAGACACGGUCCAGACUCCUACGGGAGGCAGCAGUAGGGAAUCUUCCGCAAUGGGCGAAAGCCUGACGGAGCAACGCCGCGUGAGUGAUGAAGGUCUUCGGAUCGUAAAACUCUGUUAUUAGGGAAGAACAUAUGUGUAAGUAACUGUGCACAUCUUGACGGUACCUAAUCAGAAAGCCACGGCUAACUACGUGCCAGCAGCCGCGGUAAUACGUAGGUGGCAAGCGUUAUCCGGAAUUAUUGGGCGUAAAGCGCGCGUAGGCGGUUUUUUAAGUCUGAUGUGAAAGCCCACGGCUCAACCGUGGAGGGUCAUUGGAAACUGGAAAACUUGAGUGCAGAAGAGGAAAGUGGAAUUCCAUGUGUAGCGGUGAAAUGCGCAGAGAUAUGGAGGAACACCAGUGGCGAAGGCGACUUUCUGGUCUGUAACUGACGCUGAUGUGCGAAAGCGUGGGGAUCAAACAGGAUUAGAUACCCUGGUAGUCCACGCCGUAAACGAUGAGUGCUAAGUGUUAGGGGGUUUCCGCCCCUUAGUGCUGCAGCUAACGCAUUAAGCACUCCGCCUGGGGAGUACGACCGCAAGGUUGAAACUCAAAGGAAUUGACGGGGACCCGCACAAGCGGUGGAGCAUGUGGUUUAAUUCGAAGCAACGCGAAGAACCUUACCAAAUCUUGACAUCCUUUGACAACUCUAGAGAUAGAGCCUUCCCCUUCGGGGGACAAAGUGACAGGUGGUGCAUGGUUGUCGUCAGCUCGUGUCGUGAGAUGUUGGGUUAAGUCCCGCAACGAGCGCAACCCUUAAGCUUAGUUGCCAUCAUUAAGUUGGGCACUCUAAGUUGACUGCCGGUGACAAACCGGAGGAAGGUGGGGAUGACGUCAAAUCAUCAUGCCCCUUAUGAUUUGGGCUACACACGUGCUACAAUGGACAAUACAAAGGGCAGCGAAACCGCGAGGUCAAGCAAAUCCCAUAAAGUUGUUCUCAGUUCGGAUUGUAGUCUGCAACUC
rnacentral:rRNA from 1 species